ensembl:lncRNA novel transcript
CCACCCCCGGCCCCAGGCAGCAGUACCUCCAAGGCCUGGGCGGCAGGAAAGGGAGAGAUGACGUCAUUGCCGCCUGGAAUCUGCUGUUUGGAGGCGUCGCCAUGGAGACCGGAAGGCUCAGGGAAGGGGACCCUGCACCAUCUUGGCUGGGGUUGUAGCAGAUGCUCUGGUGUCCUGUGGCUCCUCCGCCCCACCCUCACAGCGCCCCACUGCAGGGCUGCAGUCAGAAGCCUCAGGUUGCAGCCUGCCCGACAGCUCAAGCUCAGCAGGGCCGAAUGGAGAAUGUGUACCUCCUCCUCCUAACAUUGUUAAAAAUAAAAUUUGUA